AUAAGAAAAGCUGUAAUCCGUCAUGCAAAACCUGACAUUUCCUGGCAGUGUUAUACAGUUGAAAUUGCCUAUUCGACAGCCAGGAAAAAAGCCAAGGCAAUUGCAGAGGACACUUCAUUUUUCAGUGAUCCAGAAAGACAGCUUGAAAGGGGACAUUGUUGUAGAAGGACUGAUCUCCCCGGCUUUGACCCUUCAGCACCCGACCCGACUAUUCUCCCGGAUUUCCCCCUUGGCAUUGUUUGUUAUCGGCUAUGUCAGUCUCAUUAAAUCAGUCUCCUGC